rnacentral:rRNA from 1 species
CCAGACUCCUACGGGAGGCAGCAGUGGGGAAUAUUGGGCAAUGGGCGCAAGCCUGACCCAGCAACGCCGCGUGAAGGAAGAAGGCUUUCGGGUUGUAAACUUCUUUUAAGAGGGAAGAGUAGAAGACGGUACCUCUUGAAUAAGCCACGGCUAACUACGUGCCAGCAGCCGCGGUAAUACGUAGGUGGCAAGCGUUAUCCGGAUUUACUGGGUGUAAAGGGCGUGUAGGCGGGACUGCAAGUCAGAUGUGAAAACCGCGGGCUCAACCUGUGGCCUGCAUUUGAAACUGUAGUUCUUGAGUACUGGAGAGGCAGACGGAAUUCCUAGUGUAGCGGUGAAAUGCGUAGAUAUUAGGAGGAACACCAGUGGCGAAGGCGGUCUGCUGGACAGCAACUGACGCUGAGGCGCGAAAGCGUGGGGAGCAAACAGGAUUAGAUACCCUUGUA